UCGAGGGGUGGGAGGUUAGGGAAGGGAAGGGACUGAAGUGCACACAGGCCCACACAGACAAGCGCCCACACAGACAAGCACCCACACAGCACAGAGGGAGGGGGUUGGGAUGGAGAGGGGUGCACAGCAGGGCAAGUAGGACCCCCAGGGCCUCUCCCAAAAUAGCCUCCCCACCUUAGACCCCUUUCUCCUCCCCAUGGUAGGAACACACUGUGUUUAUAUUUCAUGGCCAAAUUAUUUUGGAUUUUGUUGACUGGCCCUUAGUGCCCUGCCCUCUCCCCUUUGCAGGAUCACAGCCCCCUCCCUCUGUUCCUCCCUGGUCCCAGCUCUGGUUUUCCUUGUUUCUUAGUUGGUUCUCUUUGGCCUUCCCCAAGAGGCUCCCACCCCCACAAUCCCCAGGCCCCUGUCCCUCUCUUCCUCUCUGGGGCAGUUUCAUAUUUGCUAUGACAAUUUUG
rnacentral:lncRNA from 1 species